rnacentral:rRNA from 1 species
GAUGAACGCUGGCGGCGUGCCUAAUACAUGCAAGUCGAGCGAACAGACGAGGAGCUUGCUCCUUUGACGUUAGCGGCGGACGGGUGAGUAACACGUAGGUAACCUACCUAUAAGACUGGGAUAACUUCGGGAAACCGGAGCUAAUACCGGAUAAUAUUUCGAACCGCAUGGUUCGAUAGUGAAAGAUGGCUUUGCUAUCACUUAUAGAUGGACCUGCGCCGUAUUAGCUAGUUGGUAAGGUAACGGCUUACCAAGGCAACGAUACGUAGCCGACCUGAGAGAAGGAUACGGACAACGGGAGAAGAGAAAAGGCCCAGACUCUGAAGGGAGGCAGCAGGGGGGAAUAUGGGAAAAUGGGCGAAAGCCGGAUCCAGAAAUGCCGCGUGUGGGAAGAAGGUAUUGGGAUUGUAAAGCUGUGUAAGUUGGGAGGAAGGGAAGGAAGUGAAUACCUUGAGGUUGGGAAGGUACCAACAGAAUAAGCACCGGCGAACGUCGUG